rnacentral:misc_RNA from 1 species
GUGAAUCAUCGAAUCUUUGAACGCACAUUGCGCCCUCUGGUAUUCCGGAGGGCAUGCCUGUUCGAGCGUCAUUACAACCCUCAAGCCUGGCUUGGUGUUGGGCUUCUGUCCACUGGACGGGCCUGAAAAUCAGUGGCGAUGCCCCUCCAGCUUCAAGCGUAGUAAAUCUGUCUUCGCCUUGAGCAGUUGGGUGGUGCUUUGGCCAAGCCAACCUCCACAUUUUUGUUUUCUGGUUGACCUCGGAUCAGGUAGGAAUACCCGCUGAACUUAAGCAUAUCAAUAAGCGGAGGA